AUUGAACGCUGGUGGCAUGCUUAACACAUGCAAGUCGAACGGCAGCACAGUGUGUAGCAAUACACAUGGGUGGCGAGUGGCGGACGGGUGAGUAACGCGUAGGAAUCUGCCUUGAAGCGGGGGACAACCCGAGGAAACUCGGGCUAAUACCGCAUAAUAUCGAGAGAUUAAAGCUAGGGCAACCUGGCACUUCAAGAGGAGCCUGCGUAGGAUUAGCUAGUUGGUAGGGUAAAGGCCUACCAAGGCGAUGAUCGUUAACUGGUCUGAGAGGAUGGUCAGUCACACUGGAACUGAGACACGGUCCAGACUCAUACGGGAGGCAGCGGUGGGGAAUAUUGGACAAUGGGGGCAACCCUGAUCCAGCAAUGCCGCGUGUGUGAAGAAGGCCUUCGGGUUGUAAAGCACUUUUGGCAGGGAGGAAGGUAUGGAGUUUAAGAGACACCAUAUUUGACUGUACCUGCAGAAUAAGCACCGGCUAACUCUGUGCCAGCCGCCGCCGUAA
rnacentral:rRNA from 1 species